CCGUUCCAGACAGCUGGCACACGCAGGUUCCCUGCAUCACACCCAACGUGGGGCUCUAGAGGUCACCGGAAACAGCGAGAGGCCAGCACGUCAGCUGGGAGCCCAGCUCCGGUCCAGCGUCACCACGGGGCCAUGCCCAGAACACCCUCCCGGAGGAAGGGGGCCGCCCGGGGGUGGAGGCCUGGCUCACCCUGCUGGGCCCUCCACCUCCUGGAUCUGACUUCCUCCUGGAGAGGCAGCCAGAAUAGAACCUGGGUUCUCCUUCCCCUGGCACUGCUGAUCGUGCUGGCUACCCUGCCACCAGUGGCUAUGAACUACACUCGAGGCUGUAACUGGACCUCCCCGGCGUUUGCAGCCAUGUCCCACUUUUGUCCCAGGACCCAGUCCUGGCUGCCACCUUGCAUUCGGUCGUCAUGCCCACAGCUGAAGAAACUGACCCUGUAACUGCUGAUUUCACACGGGAAAACGGGGGCGAGGGCUCUGCUCUUGGCUUCCUUCACUUUCACUUUCACCAUUUCACUUCGGAAAAUCCCCUUCAGACGUGCCUUUAGUCCCGAAGCUCCCCUUCCUGCCCUCCCUUCAUCCAGAGGCCCCUCCCAGCCCCCAGGAGCUCGCCCUCAGCUCAGAGCUCUCCUGGCCGCCUGUUUCGUUCUUUCUUUUUAAAAAUCUUUCUCGUUUGUUUGUUUUGGCUGCACCCACGGCCUGCGCAAGUUCCUGUACUGAGCCACAGCAGCCACAGCGGUGACAAUGCUGAGUCCUUCACUGGGCCACCGGGGAACAGGGCCUCCUUUUCCUUACUGCCGGGAUAUUUAACUCUGCCCUGCUGCUCCAACCCACCCGUUAGUGUCAUCUUUAAGCGUGUCAAUGGCUGUUAUUCUGGGAAUUAUAAAACUCCUGUACGUUUUUGUUUUGGUUCCACUCUCUUCCUGGGACAGAAACUUUAUGCCAAAAGUUUCCCCAACGCGAAAUUUCCCCCAAUUCAUCCUUCCUUCCUUCUUCCCUGCAGUUCCCACCUCCCUUCUGGGAAUGCUGUGGUCCCAGGGAGGCCACCUCCAGGGGUAGAAAUAUGACCUGAGCUCGAACAAUCAGUACCUGCCACCUCUUUGGUCCAGGGAUGGGUUCAAGAGAGGCUUGUCAGCCAAGGCGGCCCAGUCAAGGUGAAGCUCAGGCUCUUUGGCAGGUGCUCUGGUCCCCAGGUGCCCUCUUCGACUCAGGUGGGAGGGAUGCCUCACUAUGGAGAUGGAAGGCCAGUGGUCAUUUUCUUAGCACACCUGGUUGCUGAGGAGUUUGGUUCAACCUGUUGAGGUAGUUGCAUGAAGAAAUUCUGGGUCUUUUUAAUCUUCCUCAUCAUUCCCUUUCCUCUUUCCUCUUUUUUAACACCACAGGCAGUUUUAAUAACCUUCUGGUCUUUUCUUUUAGGGCCACAUCUGCAGCACAUGGAAG
rnacentral:lncRNA from 1 species